rnacentral:rRNA from 1 species
GUCUACGGCCAUACCACGUUGAAAGCAGCAGUUCUCGUCCGAUCACUGAAGUUAAGCAACGUCGGGCUCGGUUAGUACUUGGAUGGGUGACCGCCUGGGAACACCGAGUGCUGUAGACU